AGGAAGACCUUCAACCUUAAGUCAGUCCUGCAAAGAGCCUGUCCCUCUGCUUCACGCAGCUGACCUCAGAUAAUUGGGAGGAGAACAUUGAUGGAUUGAAAUCUGUUCGAGCUCUGGCACGACACCAUCCAGAAUACGUGCAAACCAAACUGCAUGAAGUCUGCCUGGUCCUCAUAGAAGCGAUGAAUAACCUGUGCUCUGCUGUGGCUUGUGCUGCAAUUGACACCAUAGCAGAGCUUCAUGCCCACCUGGGGAGGUCCAUGGACACUGAGGCACAGUGGACAAGCCGCCUCCUGCUGCUGAAGUUGA